GUUAAGUCAGGCAACGAGCGAGACCCACGCCAACAGUUGCCAGCUCGUCCUCCCGGGGAGUGGUGGGGGACGACUGUUGGGACCGCCUCUGCUAAAGAGGAGGAAGGAAUGGGCAACGGUAGGUCAGCAUGCCCCGAAUUAUCUGGGCUACACGCGGGCUACAAUGGGUGGGACAAUGGGUAUCGACACCGAAAGGUGAAGGCAAUCUCCUAAACCCAUCCGUAGUUCGGAUUGUGGGCUGCAACUCGCCCACAUGAGGCUGGAAUCUGUAGUAAUCGUGUCUCAAAAUGGCACGGUGAAUAUGUCUCUGCUCCUU
rnacentral:rRNA from 1 species